GAUGAACGCUGACAGCAUGCUUAACACAUGCAAGUCAACUGUGGCGGACGGGUGAGUGACGCGUAAAGAACUUGCCUCACAGCUAGGGACAACAUUUGGAAACGAAUGCUAAUACCUGAUACUGUGAGAGAGCUUUGCGUCCCAUUAGCAAGUUGGAGAGGUAACGGCUCACCAAGGCGAUGAUGGGUAGCCGGCCUGAGAGGGUGAUCGGCCACAAGGGGACUGAGACACGGCCCUUACUCCUACGUGAGGCAGCAGUGGGGAAUAUUGGACACUGGACCAAAGUCUGAUCAAGCAAUUCUGGGUGCACGAUGAAGUUGCCGGAAUGUAAAGUGCUUUCAGUUUGGAAGCGGUACCAGCAGAAGAAGCGACGGCUAACUACGUGCCAGCAGCCGCGGUAAUAC
rnacentral:rRNA from 1 species